CCUACGGGAGGCAGCAGUAGGGAAUUUUCCACAAUGGACGAAAGUCUGAUGGAGCAACGCCGCGUGAACGAUGAAGGUCUUCGGAUUGUAAAGUUCUGUUGUUAGGGACGAAUAAGUACCGUUCGAAUAGGGCGGUACCUUGACGGUACCUGACGAGAAAGCCACGGCUAACUACGUGCCAGCAGCCGCGGUAAUACGUAGGUGGCAAGCGUUGUCCGGAUUUAUUGGGCGUAAAGCGCGCGCAGGCGGCUAUGUAAGUCUGGUGUUAAAGCCCGGGGCUCAACCCCGGUUCGCAUCGGAAACUGUGUAGCUUGAGUGCAGAAGAGGAAAGCGGUAUUCCACGUGUAGCGGUGAAAUGCGUAGAGAUGUGGAGGAACACCAGUGGCGAAGGCGGCUUUCUGGUCUGUAACUGACGCUGAGGCGCGAAAGCGUGGGGAGCA
rnacentral:rRNA from 1 species